CCGAGCCCGACUCGACCCCGCGUCCUGGUCCACUUCGAGCGUCGCUGACCUGUCGUACGCGGCCCAACUACUCGAGAGACCACACGACCCCCUCCUGACCUGUGUUUCCGUCGUACGCGCCGCCUCGGGCGAGUUGGAUCUCGCCGUCGAGCUCCGAGUCCGCCGCCGUUCCUCAGAUGAUGCUGUCGUUCAGAGCGAGAGGAACAAGAUCGUUCGCCGCCGUCGGAGUACUGCCGAGGUUCACGAUCCCGCCAUCACCUACAGAGGGCACCCCGUCACUGUCUGACCUCACCUACGCCUCCGCCACUCACCGUCGCAUCCUCCCGUAGCCUCACCUUCGCCGGAGCACUGCCGGAGAAGCACCGUCGCCGACGCCCGAGACCGCCGCCGCCGUCCUCUGCUUUUGAUUGUCCGGAGUGCGACGCGAACUAUUGUCAGGAGUGUGACUUUUCGAACCAGAACCAAG